UACAGAGACCUCAAGCGUUAUCCGGAUUUAUUGGGCGUAAAGAGCAUGUAGGCGGUCUUGUUAGUCAGAUGUCAAAGCUUCGAGCUCAACUCGAAAACUGCAUUUGAAACGGCAAGGCUUGAGACAGUGAGAGAUUGAUGGAACAUAUGGUGUAGCAGUGAAAUGCGUUGAUAUCAUAUGGAACACCAAAGGCGAAGGCAUUCAAUUAGCACUGUUCUGACGCUGAGAUGCGAAAGCGUGGGUAGCGAAUGGG
rnacentral:rRNA from 1 species